rnacentral:rRNA from 1 species
UUUAAAUUGAGAGUUUGAUCCUGGCUCAGGAUGAACGCUGGCGGCGUGCUUAACACAUGCAAGUCGAGCGAUGAAGUUUCCUUCGGGAAACGGAUUAGCGGCGGACGGGUGAGUAACACGUGGGUAACCUGCCUCAUAGAGUGGAAUAGCCUUCCGAAAGGAAGAUUAAUACCGCAUAAUGCUGAAAGAUGGCAUCAUCAUUCAACCAAAGGAGCAAUCCGCUAUGAGAUGGACCCGCGGCGCAUUAGCUAGUUGGUGGGGUAACGGCCUACCAAGGCGACGAUGCGUAGCCGACCUGAGAGGGUGA